GGUACCUAAAGAAUAAGCACCGGCUAACUACGUGCCAGCAGCCGCGGUAAUACGUAGGGUGCGAGCGUUAAUCGGAAUUACUGGGCGUAAAGCGAGCGCAGACGGUUAGUUAAGCAAGAUGUGAAAUCCCCGAGCUCAACUUGGGAACUGCGUUUUGAACUGGCUAGCUAGAGUGUGUCAGAGGGGGGUAGAAUUCCACGUGUAGCAGUGAAAUGCGUAGAGAUGUGGAGGAAUACCGAUGGCGAAGGCAGCCCCCUGGGGUAACACUGACGUUCAUGCUCGAAAGCGUGGGUAGCAAACAGGAUUAGAUACCCUGGUAGUCCACGCCCUAAACGAUGUCAAUUAGCUGUUGGGCAACUUGAUUGCUUAGUAGCGUAGCUAACGCGUGAAAUUGACCGCCUGGGGAGUACGGUCGCAAGAUUAAAACUCAAAGGAAUUGACGGGGACCCGCACAAGCGGUGGAUGAUGUGGAUUAAUUCGAUGCAACGCGAAGAACCUUACCUGGUCUUGACAUGUACGGAAUCUUUCAGAGACGGAAGAGUGCCUUCGGGAACCGUAACACAGGUGCUGCAUGGCUGUCGUCAGCUCGUGUCGUGAGAUGUUGGGUUAAGUCCCGCAACGAGCGCAACCCUUGUCAUUAGUUGCCAUCAUUAAGUUGGGCACUCUAAUGAGACUGCCGGUGACAAACCGGAGGAAGGUGGGGAUGACGUCAAGUCCUCAUGGCCCUUAUGGCCAGGGCUUCACACGUCAUACAAUGGUCGGUACAAAGGGUAGCCAAGCCGCGAGGUGGAGCCAAUCCCAGAAAACCGAUCGUAGUCCGGAUUGCACUCUGCAACUCGAGUGCAUGAAGUCGGAAUCGCUAGUAAUCGCAGGUCAGCAUACUGCGGUGAAUACGUUCCCGGGUCUUGUACACACCGCCCGUCACACCAUGGGAGUGGGGGAUACCAGAAGUAGAUAGGGUAACCGCAAGGAGCCCGUUUACCACGGUAUGUUUCAUGACUGGGGUGAAGUCGUAACAAGGUAGCCGUAGGGGAACCUGCGGCUGGAUCACCUCCUUU
rnacentral:rRNA from 1 species